ACGUAGCCGACCUGAGAGGGUAAUCGGCCACAUUGGGACUGAGACACGGCCCAAACUCCUACGGGAGGCAGCAGUAGGGAAUCUUCCACAAUGGACGAAAGUCUGAUGGAGCAACGCCGCGUGAGUGAAGAAGGGUUUCGGCUCGUAAAACUCUGUUGUUAAAGAAGAACAUAUCUGAGAGUAACUGUUCAGGUAUUGACGGUAUUUAACCAGAAAGCCACGGCUAACUACGUGCCAGCAGCCGCGGUAAUACGUAGGUGGCAAGCGUUGUCCGGAUUUAUUGGGCGUAAAGCGAGCGCAGGCGGUUUUUUAAGUCUGAUGUGAAAGCCUUCGGCUCAACCGAAGAAGUGCAUCGGAAACUGGGAAACUUGAGUGCAGAAGAGGACAGUGGAACUCCAUGUGUAGCGGUGAAAUGCGUAGAUAUAUGGAAGAACACCAGUGGCGAAGGCGGCUGUCUGGUCUGUAACUGACGCUGAGGCUCGAAAGUAUGGGUAGCAAACAGGAUUAGAUACCCUGGUAGUCCAUACCGUAAACGAUGAAUGCUAAGUGUUGGAGGGUUUCCGCCCUUCAGUGCUGCAGCUAACGCAUUAAGCAUUCCGCCUGGGGAGUACGGCCGCAAGGCUGAAACUCAAAGGAAUUGACGGGGGCCCGCACAAGCGGUGGAGCAUGUGGUUUAAUUCGAAGCUACGCGAAGAACCUUACCAGGUCUUGACAUACUAUGCAAAUCUAAGAGAUUAGACGUUCCCUUCGGGGACAUGGAUACAGGUGGUGCAUGGUUGUCGUCAGCUCGUGUCGUGAGAUGUUGGGUUAAGUCCCGCAACGAGCGCAACCCUUAUUAUCAGUUGCCAGCAUUAAGUUGGGCACUCUGGUGAGACUGCCGGUGACAAACCGGAGGAAGGUGGGGAUGACGUCAAAUCAUCAUGCCCCUUAUGACCUGGGCUACACACGUGCUACAAUGGAUGGUACAACGAGUUGCGAACUCGCGAGAGUAAGCUAAUCUCUUAAAGCCAUUCUCAGUUCGGAUUGUAGGCUGCAACUCGCCUACAUGAAGUCGGAAUCGCUAGUAAUCGCGGAUCAGCAUGCCGCGGUGAAUACGUUCCCGGGCCUUGUACACACCGCCCGUCACACCAUGAGAGUUUGUAACACCCAAAGUCGGUGGGGUAACCUUUUAGGAACCAGCCGCCUAAGGUGGGACAGAUGAUUAGGGUGAAGUCGUAACAAGGUAGCCGUAGGAGAACCUGCGGCUG
rnacentral:rRNA from 1 species